rnacentral:rRNA from 1 species
GACGAACGCUGGCGGCGUGCCUAAUACAUGCCAGUCGAACGCACAGUUUAUACCGUAGCUUGCUACACCAUAGACUGUGAGUUGCGAACGGGUGAGUAACGCGUAGGUAACCUGCCUGGUAGCGGGGGAUAACUAUUGGAAACGAUAGCUAAUACCGCAUAAUAUUAAUUAUUGCAUGAUAAUUAAUUGAAAGGUGCAAUUGCACCACUACCAGAUGGACCUGCGUUGUAUUAGCUAGUAGGUGAGGUAACGGCUCACCUAGGCGACGAUACAUAGCCGACCGGAGAGGGUGAUCGGCCACACUGGGACUGAGACACGGCCCAGACUCCUACGGGAGGCAGCAGUAGGGAAUCUUCGGCAAUGGACGAAAGUCUGACCGAGCAACGCCGCGUGAGUGAAGAAGGGUUUCGGAUCGUAAAGCUCUGUUGUAAGAGAAGAACGGGUGUGAGAGUGGAAAGUUCACACUGUGACGGUAGCUUACCAGAAAGGGACGGCUAACUACGUG